AGUAACUGCGAGUGAAGGGGAAAAGCCCAGCGCCGAAUCCUGCUGCUGGUGACGGUGGCAGGAACUGUGGCGUGAAGAAGGUGUCUAUCGGUGUGGCUUGCUCGCGUAAGUUCUCCUGAGUGAGGCUCCAUCCCAUGGAGGGUGCAAGGCCCGUGUCGUGAGCAGCCGUCACCGAUGCGCACUUUCAGAGAGUCGCCUUGUUUGCGAGUACAAGGUGAAGUCGGUGGUAAACUCCAUCGAAGGCUAAAUAUGACCACGAGUCCGAUAGCGAACAAGUACCGUGAGGGAAAAUUGAAAAGCACUUUGAAGAGAGAGCGAAACAGUGCGUGAAACCGCUCAGAGGCAAGCAGAUGGGGCCUCGAAGGCAGAGCGUCGAAUUCAGCCGGUUGUCCGUGCGGUUGGCUGGGAUUGGAGAGCGUAAGCCUCUGCCUGGUUGAUUGGUACGGCUGCCGGUGCACUUUCGACGCUUGUACGCCACCGCCGUUGAGGAGCGUCCGUCGGGCUGGCGUGUGGAGCCUUACUCUCGCAAGAGCGUAGGUGUCUCACUGCUGGUCUGUACGCGUUCGCACCUCAACCGGUCAAGUCAGCAUGUGCCAGCGUUUGCGCUGGGUCAGUCGGCUCCGGUCGGGCUGUAUGGAGAUGGCGAGCUUGCUCGACUCUUCUGCACUUGAUGGAAUCCGUGCUGGCUUUCAGCGUGGCACAUUGUAGAUUCGGUGGCGAGUAGACGGCUGCCCAUCUAACCCGUCUUGAAACACGGACCAAGGAGUUCAACAUGCGCGCCAGUCGUUGGGACUAGAAGCCCGCUGGCAAAGUGAAAGCAAGUCACAGUGUCACGCUGUGUAUUGGCGAGAUCCCGUCACUUGGCCCGCAAGGGUCGAGCCGGGCGCAUCGCCGGCCCAUCAUAAGCUCACGUGGCUGUGGUGGAGCUUGAGCGUGCACGUUGAGACCCGAAAGAUGGUGAACUAUGCCUGGGCAGGAUGAAGCCAGGGGAAACUCUGGUGGAGGUCCGUAGCGAUUCUGACGUGCAAAUCGAUCGUCUGACCUGGGUAUAGGGGCGAAAGACUAAUCGAACCAUCUAGUAGCUGGUUCCCUCCGAAGUUUCCCUCAGGAUAGCUGGCACUCGGAGAACGUAGUCUCUCCCGGUAAAGCGAAUGAUUAGAGGCCUUGGGGUCGAAACGACCUCAACCUAUUCUCAAACUUUAAAUGGGUGAGAAGUCCGGCUUGCUUAAAUGCGAAGCUGAAGUCCGGACGUUGGAUACGAGCGCCUAGUGGGCCACUUUUGGUAAGCAGAACUGGCGCUGUGGGAUGAACCGAACGCUGAGUUAUGGCGCCCGACGAGACGCUCAUGAGAUCCCAGAAAAGGUGUUGGUUGCUAUAGACAGCAGGACGGUGGCCAUGGAAGUCGGAACCCGCUAAGGAGUGUGUAACAACUCACCUGCCGAAGCAACUAGCCCUGAAAAUGGAUGGCGCUAGAGCGUCUGGCCUAUACUCGGCCGUUGCAGCAGCAAUGUAUAAAGUCAAGCUGCAACGAGUAGGAGGGUCGCGGCGGUGGCGUCGAAGGCUUACGGGCGUGAGCCUGGCUGGAGCCGCCGUCGGUGCAGAUCUUGGUGGUAGUAGC
rnacentral:rRNA from 1 species